GUAAGAGAUUUCAAUGCUUGUGCUUGACAUCAUAACGGAAACUGUUACAUCAUUUCGCUCUUGGCACAUUCGAGAUUAGCAAUUAUUGCGUUGCAAAUUUGGAGGGCGUUUCAUAGUCAUUUGCUAUUACCAAUUGCGAUAAUUGAUGAGUGAUAUAAUAGACAUUGAUGGUCCUUAGAUUCGAGUCGCCUGUCAAUUAUGUAAUUAAUACGCUCACGAACAAACUACCGUCGACGAUUGCUGUGUAUUACCAUACGUGUCCAUCGAAACGAUUCGCAGUUAUUUUCGUUAUUAAGCCACCAAUUAUCGCUGCAUGUCCACGGAAAAGUGUCGUAUCACAAGGACCUUUUCAUUUGACGUUGUUGUCGCUCGUUAAUGGUCUCAUUGGCCUGUCCGCCGACCUCCGCGCCUGAUCAUCAUCCCGAGCAUUGUCCGCUUCCUCGUCCGAAUUUGUUCGCUUGCUCCGAAACCGGAAGCACAGCGCAAUGCACCAGCGCUUAAAGUUCCCUUUUCUCGUGUAUUAUAGACAUUUAUGCAUUUUGCAUAUCUAAACUGUCGCAUCCUGACUUGUCAUCGAUAAUAUUUUCCUUUACCCCAUUUUAAAAAGACUUCAUUUUUUUUUACCUACAUGUCUAAUGCACUUUAUUUCUAGUAUAAUUAAAAUGUAUGUUUUUCUUUGACAGCUAAUAGAAUUAAUCCAACGAGUAUGUCUCGAGCAAUUUCGCAAAAAUUCGAUUCGCAAUGUCGCUUGCGCGAUUUGGACGUUGAUCCAAUUCUUCAUUAAUUUCACUGCGUGGUAACCGAAAUUGAGUCUGAUGAAUUCAAAGAAGGAUGUGUAAUAGAAUUAAAAAUUCCCUUAGAGCCAGUUCCACAAACGUCGGUUAACUGGUGAGAGGUUAAUUCUCUGUCUCUUCUUAUUGUUAGAUAAUAAUAUAGAAAAGGAUAAAGAGACUCUCUGGAUCGACUAAUCUCUAGUUAACCGACAUUUGUGAAACUGGCUCUUAUUGUUAGUAUUAUUAAAUUAAAUUAGUUUUGUAUUAAUUCUUGAUUAGUUAUUAAUACGAAUUUCGUAUCCGUCUAAGUCAAGAUAUAAGACACAGUUUGAUAAUACGAGAAGCAGAUUAAUAAUUUAUAUGUUAAUUAAGAAGACGCAAUAGAUUAGGUGACACUAUAUAACAUUAUACACCUAUGACUUAUUCGAUAAUGAGUCGUCAGAAUAAAUUGUUUAGAAACUGCCUCGCAAUGAUGGAUUUAGAUAAAGUUGUUUUGCUAAAUGCACCGAUAAUAUCUGAAACAUUUCAGAAUAUAAACUGCUGCAUACUGCAGUCUUUUUUUUAACAAAGCUAUAUCUAGAAAGUGUAAUUUCAAAAUAUUGGUCGGAACCCCUCGAGAGCUCUUCGGCAGAUGUAUUUUUAGCAUAUAAGUAAACUCGCGUUGAUAUUUGGAUGCACGACCGAGAUUCGAAUAAUUUUUAUGUUGCAUAUUUGACGUAGCAGCUUAUAUUUAAAAAAAACUUUCGUGCCACGGUUAUUUAUUCGAUAUAAUUAAACGGUUCCAAUGUGAACAAAUAAGUUGCAUAAAAAGAAAUAAUAAAAACAGAUGGAAAGGGGAAGUUUCUCAGGUGUAUCUUUUUCCGAGAUUGCCAAGAUUUUUGGCCAUCCAGAAGCACUGAGCAAUUCCUCUAAUAAUUAAGCACAAUGAUCAUUCACUCUCUUCGUUUAUCAAAUCACUCUUCCUCCAUUAGAGAGACAGCUCGGACGAAUAGGCCAUUCAUUAUGUAGAGCUUUGUACAUAGGUACAACCAGGGUAAUCGUAUUGUGGUAAUUAUCCACUUGACGGCUCGUAAUCGGUAGUUGACAGUGCGGUCUUGACAUUCCAUCGAGUGGCAGUCUCAAAAAUGCACGAACCAAUCGAUGAAGGAUGCAUUGGCGAUUGUCUUCGCCACGUAUACUCUUUCGCGAGACCAACAAUAUUGUCGGAGGGUAAAUCAGUUUCUCCAAUUAUCUGUUAUCCCGUUCGUUUAACACCGUUAGCGUACGAACCGAUGGUUCUUUCGGCCUUAGAGUGUCUCAGGCCCGGUUUUUCAUUUUCUGGUCAAAUGUUAACCAGAGGUUGGUCGACUACCUGUCUCUUCUUAGAUAAUAAUAUAGAAAAAGGUAGAGAGUCGAUUAGCCUCCGGUUAACAGCUAGCCAGAAAAUGCAAAACCAGGCCUCGCUAAACCACACCAGACCCAGUACAUUAACAUAGUUCAGGAGCACGUAAGAUGCAGGCCUUCAAAUAGCACUCAUUGAGGAUGCAUAACGCGGAAUCGCGACGUCGACGUUAUUCUACUGUCUUUCUCCGCGAAGACACUGAGGCGGAGGCGACCCUGACAGCACGUGCAUGCGUCGUUCGCGUUUAUAUCGAGCGCUGCAAUUGCGUCCGUCGCCGAGAGCUGCACCUGGCAGCGCCCACGAAAAAGCAGAUUAAACGAUCCGUCUUCCCCGCUCUGCCUGCGACUGAUUCGCGCCGCGUAAAGCUCGUCUCGCGCCAGUUGCAUCUGCGACUAGGUGCAUGUGCGGUGCGUUUGACCGUUUCCCGCCACGUGUCAUCGGGAAAAAGAUAUAAGAAAUGCCGCGCACUCUCGGUGAACGUCAAACUGUCCGUGUCGUGUGACUGAUUGUGAGCGUCGUCGACGCUUUCGAGGCGGUCGGUGAGACCAGGGAGAGACCAGAGAGAGAAAGGAGAUUUUACCACUUUAGCAACAAGAGCUUUGAUCGAUCAAUUCGUUAAUCGUAAUCUCAGGAAAUCGUGGAUUUGAAGGACAAAACACCUCACACAUUGACAUAAACGUGAGAACGGAGGAAUGUCGACGCAAAAGGAAAUUAGUAAAUGUCUCAGAGGAAGAAGAUGAUUACACGACA